AGUGAACGCUGGCGGUAGGCCUAACACAUGCAAGUCGAACGGCAGCACAGUAAGAGCUUGCUCUUACGGGUGGCGAGUGGCGGACGGGUGAGGAAUACAUCGGAAUCUACUUUUUCGUGGGGGAUAACGUAGGGAAACUUACGCUAAUACCGCAUACGACCUACGGGUGAAAGCAGGGGAUCUUCGGACCUUGCGCGAUUGAAUGAGCCGAUGUCGGAUUAGCUAGUUGGCGGGGUAAAGGCCCACCAAGGCGACGAUCCGUAGCUGGUCUGAGAGGAUGAUCAGCCACACUGGAACUUAAACACGGUCCAGACUCCUACGGGAGGCAGCAGUGGGGAAUAUUGGACAAUGGGCGCAAGCCUGAUCCAGCCAUACCGCGUGGGUGAAGAAGGCCUUCGGGUUGUAAAGCCCUUUUGUUGGGAAAGAAAAGCAGCAGGUUAAUACCCCGCUGUUCUGACGGUACCCAAAGAAUAAGCACCGGCUAACUUCGUG
rnacentral:rRNA from 1 species